GAUGAACGCUGGCGGCGUGCCUAAUACAUGCAAGUCGAGCGAACGGACGAGAAGCUUGCUUCUCUGAUGUUAGCGGCGGACGGGUGAGUAACACGUGGAUAACCUACCUAUAAGACUGGGAUAACUUCGGGAAACCGUAGCUAAUACCGGAUAAUAUUUUGAACCGCAUGGUUCAAAAGUGAAAGACGGUCUUGCUGUCACUUAUAGAUGGAUCCGCGCUGCAUUAGCUAGUUGGUAAGGUAACGGCUUACCAAGGCAACGAUGCAUAGCCGACCUGAGAGGGUGUUCGCCCACACUGGACCUGAGACACGGUCCAGACUCCUACGGGAGGCAGCAUUAGGGAAUCUUCCGCAAUGGGCGAAAUCCUACCGGGGCAACGCCGGGUGGUGGAUGAAGGUCUUCGGAUCGUAAAACUCUGUUAUUAGGGAAGAACAUGUGUGUAAGUAACAGUGCACAUCUUGACGGUACCUAAUCAGAAAGCCACGGCUAACUACGUG
rnacentral:rRNA from 1 species